GACGAACGCUGGCGGCGUGCUUAACACAUGCAAGUCGAACGGAAAGGCCCUGCUUUUGUGGGUGCUCGAGUGGCGAACGGGUGAGUAACACGUGAGUAACCUGCCCUUGACUUUGGGAUAACUUCAGGAAACUGGGGCUAAUACCGGAUAGGAGCUCCUGCUGCAUGGUGGGGGUUGGAAAGUUUCGGCGGUUGGGGAUGGACUCGCGGCUUAUCAGCUUGUUGGUGGGGUAGUGGCUUACCAAGGCUUUGACGGGUAGCCGGCCUGAGAGGGUGACCGGCCACAUUGGGACUGCGAUACGGCCCAGACUCCUACGGGAGGCAGCAGUGGGGAAUAUUGCACAAUGGGCGGAAGCCUGAUGCAGCAACGCCGCGUGCGGGAUGACGGCCUUCGGGUUGUAAACCGCUUUCGCCUGUGACGAAGCGUGAGUGACGGUAAUGGGUAAAGAAGCACCGGCUAACUACGUG
rnacentral:rRNA from 1 species